AGUCCUGGCAACGGGAUGAGUAAAGUGGCGGACGGGUGAGUAACGCGUGGGUAACCUGCCCUGGGGAGGGGGAUAACACCUCGAAAGGAGUGCUAAUACCCCAUAAUGUCCCGCAGGCCAAGGCCUGCGGGACCAAAGGUAGCCUCUGACUCAAGCUAUCGCUUCAGGAUGGGCCCGCGUCCCAUUAGCUAGUUGGCAGGGUAAUGGCCUACCAAGGCUAUGAUGGGUAGCUGGUCUGARAGGACGGUCAGCCACACUGGAACUGAGACACGGUCCAGACUCCUACGGGAGGCAGCAGUGAGGAAUUUUGCGCAAUGGGCGAAAGCCUGACGCAGCAACGCCGCGUGGACGAUGAAGGUCUUCGGAUCGUAAAGUCCUGUCGAGUGGGAAGAAAAAUGCGAGGGUCAACACCUCUCGCAUUCGACUGUACCACCAGAGGAAGCCCCGGCUAACUACGUGCCAGCAGCCGCGGUAAUAC
rnacentral:rRNA from 1 species